CCUACGGGGGGCAGCAGUGAGGAAUAUUGGUCAAUGGGCUUACGCCUGAACCAGCCAAGUCGCGUGAGGGAAGACUGCCCUAUGGGUUGUAAACCUCUUUUGUCAGGGAGCAACGCCGGCUACGUGUAGCCGGACUGAGAGUACCUGAAGAAAAAGCAUCGGCUAACUCCGUGCCAGCAGCCGCGGUAAUACGGAGGAUGCGAGCGUUAUCCGGAUUUAUUGGGUUUAAAGGGUGCGUAGGCGGAAUGCCAAGUCAGCGGUAAAAUCGCGGGGCUCAACCCCGUACUGCCGUUGAAACUGCAUCCCUUGAGUGCGCGAGAAGGAUGCGGAAUGCGUGGUGUAGCGGUGAAAUGCAUAGAUAUUAGGAGGAACACCAGUGGUGAAGGCGGCUUACUGGACUGUAACUGACGUUGAGGCUCGAAAGCGUGGGGAGCAAACAGGAUUAGAUACCCCAGUAGUC
rnacentral:rRNA from 1 species